rnacentral:tRNA from 1 species
ACCCGGAUCGUAUAACGGCAUUACGACUGACUCUGGAUCAGUAUAUCGAGGUUCGAAUCCUUGUCCGGGUGCCA